rnacentral:rRNA from 1 species
UGCAAGUCGAGCGGUAACAGGAAUUAGCUUGCUAAUUUGCUGACGAGCGGCGGACGGGUGAGUAACGCGUAGGAAUCUGCCUGGUAGUGGGGGACAACAUGUGGAAACGCAUGCUAAUACCGCAUACGCCCUACGGGGGAAAGGAGGGGAUCUUCGGACCUUGCGCUAUUAGAUGAGCCUGCGUGAGAUUAGCUAGUUGGUGAGGUAAUGGCUCACCAAGGCGACGAUCUCUAGCUGGUCUGAGAGGAUGAUCAGCCACACUGGGACUGAGACACGGCCCAGACUCCUACGGGAGGCAGCAGUGGGGAAUAUUGCACAAUGGGCGCAAGCCUGAUGCAGCCAUACCGCGUGUGUGAAGAAGGCCUUAGGGUUGUAAAGCACUUUCAGUAGUGAGGAAAGGGGUGUAGUUAAUACCUGCAUCCUGUGACGUUAGCUACAGAAGAAGCACCGGCUAAUUCCGUGCCAGCAGCCGCGGUAAUACGGAAGGUGCGAGCGUUAAUCGGAAUUACUGGGCGUAAAGCGUACGCAGGCGGUUUGUUAAGCGAGAUGUGAAAGCCCCGGGCUCAACCUGGGAACUGCAUUUCGAACUGGCAAACUAGAGUGUGAUAGAGGGUGGUAGAAUUUCAGGUGUAGCGGUGAAAUGCGUAGAGAUCUGAAGGAAUACCGAUGGCGAAGGCAGCCACCUGGGUCAACACUGACGCUCAUGUACGAAAGCGUGGGGAGCAAACAGGAUUAGAUACCCUGGUAGUCCACGCCGUAAACGAUGUCUACUAGCCGUUGGGGAUUUUAUUCUUAGUGGCGCAGCUAACGCGAUAAGUAGACCGCCUGGGGAGUACGGCCGCAAGGUUAAAACUCAAAUGAAUUGACGGGGGCCCGCACAAGCGG